AGCAGCCGCGGUAAUUCCAGCUCCAAUAGCGUAUAUUAAAGUUGUUGCAGUUAAAAAGCUCGUAGUUGAAUUUCGGGAUUGGCGCAUCGGUCGUGCCUCACGGGGUAUGAACUGGUGCAGUCAAUUUCUCACCUUCUGGAGAACCGCGAUGUCCUUAAUUGGAUGCCGCGGGGAACCAGGACCUUUACUUUGAAAAAAUUAGAGUGUUUAAAGCAGGCAUUUUUGCUUGAAUACAUUAGCAUGGAAUAAUAAAAUAGGACGGCAUGGUUCUAUUUUGUUGGUUUCUAGGACCACCGUAAUGAUUAAUAGGGAUAGUUGGGGGCAUUAGUAUUCAAUUGUCAGAGGUGAAAUUCUUGGAUUUAUUGAAGACUAACUACUGCGAAAGCAUUUGCCAAGGAUGUUUUCAUUAAUCAAGAACGAAAGUUAGGGGAUCGAAGACGAUCAGAUACCGUCGUAGUCUUAACCAUAAACUAUGCCGACUAGGAAUCAGACGAUGUUAAUUUUUUAAUGACUCGUUUGG
rnacentral:ncRNA from 4 species